rnacentral:lncRNA from 10 species
ACUUGAGCCCUUGUCCUUGAAGGGGAUUGAGCGAGCCGAGGGGAGGGGUAGGCGGUACUCGGAUUUCCAAUCACAAUGGAGAAACCUAAGAGGCUGCGGUGGUUGUGGGGCCCCGCCCCCUCCUCCCUCCUUGCAGAGCCGGCGCCGGAGGAGACGCACGCAGCUGACUUUGUCUUCUCCGCACGACUGUUACAGAGGUCUCCAGAGCCUUCUCUCUCCUGUGCAAAAUGGCAACUCUUAAGGAAAAACUCAUUGCACCAGUUGCGGAAGAAGAGGCAACAGUUCCAAACAAUAAGAUCACUGUAGUGGGUGUUGGACAAGUUGGUAUGGCGUGUGCUAUCAGCAUUCUGGGAAAGGUACAUUUCAAGAACACCAUAGAUGAUAGAGAAGUUCAGCAUGUAUACACAGUUUCUUUGGGCACCUUGGAAUUUUAUUAUAUCUUUAAAAGAUUUCUUUUUUUCCUGAGCAAUUUGAAGUUGUAGAUGUAAUCCCACUUCACUUUCAAAUAUUUAAGCAUGUAUCUCCUAAAAGAAUUAUAUUCUCC